ACACUGACGCUUUGUCAUAGUUGUUGGGUCUCUACUGAACCGUGCUUUAUAUUUGUUAGGAAAGGAAGCUGUUAGAAGAAGAAGAAGAAGAAGCUUACAUAAAAGCUGUGUUUCAGGGUCAAAAAAAGGCUCCUAUUGUUCGAAGGAUUGAUGAUGAUGACGACGAAGAUUUGGAAUUUUUCUCUCUUGACGAUGUGGGAUCAUCAUCUCAUCCAUGAUCCACCGAAGGUAGAGCUGGUGUUGAUUGGGCUUCUGGUAGUAGUAAACCUGUUUCGAAGACUCCUUCAAUCAAAUUCUCAAUCAUCAAGAAAUCCGCGCCACAAUCCUCAACUGUAGGCGUGGAGAAAGCACAGCAAGAUGCCAAACCCACCGUUGCUACCAGCAACGUAUUACAAUCCUUAUUCCAAGAGUAUGGAAGCGAUGAAGACGAGUAAUCAGAGUAUAUAAAGAUAAAACAUGUAAUACUGAUCUCCCUAGUUCAGAUUCAAAGUAUUUAGAUUUUUGUUGCUAUCAAAGCAUUUUUUGCCUGUAUGAUGUCAGAUUGAAAUAUAUUGAUAA